UACAGAGGUCUCAAGCGUUGUUCGGAUUCAUUGGGCGUAAAGGGUGCGUAGGCGGCGCGGUAAGUCGGGUGUGAAAUCUCGGAGCUUAACUCCGAAACUGCAUUCGAUACUGCCGUGCUUGAGGACUGGAGAGGAGACUGGAAUUUACGGUGUAGCGGUGAAAUGCGUAGAUAUCGUAAGGAAGACCAGUGGCGAAGGCGGGUCUCUGGACCAAUACUGACGCUGAGACGCGAAAGCGUGGGGAGCAAACAGG
rnacentral:rRNA from 1 species